CCCUGGGUGGUGCAAACAGGUAACACGCUCAGCUGCUAACCGAAAGGUUGGUGGUUUGAGUCCACCCAGAGGAG
rfam:Loxodonta africana unplaced genomic scaffold scaffold_37, whole genome shotgun sequence.